rnacentral:rRNA from 1 species
GACGAAUGCUGGCGGCGUGCUUAACACAUGCAAGUCGAACGGAAAGGCCCUGCUUGCCGGGUACUCGAGUGGCGAACGGGUGAGUAACACGUGGGUGAUCUGCCCUGCACUUCGGGAUAAGCCUGGGAAACUGGGUCUAAUACCGGAUAGGAGCCAUUUUUAGUGCGAUGGUUGGAAAGUUUUUUCGGUGUAGGAUGAGCUCGCGGCCUAUCAGCUUGUUGGUGGGGUAAUGGCCUACCAAGGCGGCGACGGGUAGCCGGCCUGAGAGGGUGGACGGCCACAAUGGGGCUGGGGUACGGCCCCGACUCCUACCGGGGGGAGGCGUGGGGAAUAUUGCACAAUGGGCGCAAGCCUGAUGCAGCGACGCCGCGUGGGGGAUGACGGCCUUCGGGUUGUAAACUCCUUUCGCUAGGGACGAAGCUUUUGUGACGGUACCUAGAUAAGAAGCACCGGCUAACUACGUG